UAAAGGCAAGAAUGUGGUUCAACAUGCUGGACGCUCAAUAUCAUGAAUCCAUUACACAUUUAGGUUUCACCCACCUUCUGAUGGAUGGGGUCAGUGUUUGUUUUCAUAGGAAUGUUUCGCAGAGGCACCCUAUUUACAAACUUAUGGUUCCUCAUUUUCGACAUAUGCAUGCAAUAAACAAUCUAGCCCUUUCCACUCUGCUCGCUAAGGAUGGUUUUAUAGAUGCAGACAUGUGGUAUGGAAGGGAAAACAUGCUCAAAUUGAUUGGAAGACAGUAUGAGCUAUUUUACUUACUAGGC